rnacentral:rRNA from 1 species
GCAAGUCGAGCGGUAACAGAGAGGUGCUUGCACCUUUGCUGACGAGCGGCGGACGGGUGCGUAACGCUUAGGUAUCUACCUGGUAGUGGUGGAUAGCCCAGAGAAAUUUGGAUUAAUACCGCAUACGCCCUACGGGGGAAAGGAGGGGAUCUUCGGACCUUUCGCUAUCAGAUGAGCCUGCGUGAGAUUAGCUUGUUGGUUAGGUAAAGGCUCACCAAGGCGACGAUGUCUAGCUGGUCUGAGAGGAUGAUC